GACGUAGGGCGCGAGCGUUGUCCGGAUUUAUUGGGCGUAAAGAGCUCGUAGGCGGCUCAUUGCGUCAACCGUGAAAUCCUGCUGCUCAACGGCAGGUCUGCGGUUGAUACGGGUGGGCUGGAGUUCGGUAGGGGAGACUGGAAUUCCUGGUGUAGCGGUGAAAUGCGCAGAUAUCCGGAGGAACACCGGUGGCGAAGGCGGCUUCCUGGACCGACACUGACGCUGAGGCGCGAAAGCUAGGGGAGCAAACGGG
rnacentral:rRNA from 1 species